rnacentral:lncRNA from 1 species
AGUAACUCCUAUCUUCACAGUCAGAGAAGCCCUGUGUCCAGAGGGAGAGGUAUGGCAUACGCAACUGAGUGAGGAACUGUCAGAUCACAAAGGAAGGAAAUAGCAGAAGCCUGAGGGACACACCCACAGGCAGAAUAGUAGUGAGUCAAAGACUUUGAAAAAUACACAAGAGCUACCCCAUGAAGUAAUGUAUAUGAAGAAAUAUCCAGGAGAUGUGGCUUUAAGCUUGGCUGGAUCCAGGAGCAGAGACAGUCUCCUGGUCAGUACUUCCCUCUGUCUCCCAACUCUGUUUCCUUUUUAUUGUUUCAUUCAGACAGACUAUUCUCAUAUGAUAGCAAGGUGGUCAAGAAGAAGCCUCAACUUUCAUUUCCCACUCUCUCAGCAACCUCAGAAGAAGGCAGCUACCUUUCCUAGGAGCAAUUUCAACAAGGAUCACCAGCUGCAUAACUUCCUCCUUAUCCCCCAGAUAAUGACCGGAGAACUCCAUAGGGACCCAUGGGAAAAAAACACAACCCAACAAUUGAAGCCAAG